rnacentral:rRNA from 2 species
UUAAGUUAUUAAGGGCGCACGGUGGAUGCCUUGGCACUAGAAGCCGAUGAAGGACGUUACUAACGACGAUAUGCUUUGGGGAGCUGUAAGUAAGCUUUGAUCCAGAGAUUUCCGAAUGGGGAAACCCAGCAUGAGUUAUGUCAUGUUAUCGAUAUGUGAAUACAUAGCAUAUCAGAAGGCACACCCGGAGAACUGAAACAUCUUAGUACCCGGAGGAAGAGAAAGAAAAUUCGAUUCCCUUAGUAGCGGCGAGCGAAACGGGAAGAGCCCAAACCAACAAGCUUGCUUGUUGGGGUUGUAGGACACUCUAUACGGAGUUACAAAGGACGACAUUAGACGAAUCAUCUGGAAAGAUGAAUCAAAGAAGGUAAUAAUCCUGUAGUCGAAAAUGUUGUCUCUCUUGAGUGGAUCCUGAGUACGACGGAGCACGUGAAAUUCCGUCGGAAUCUGGGAGGACCAUCUCCUAAGGCUAAAUACUCUCUAGUGACCGAUAGUGAACCAGUACCGUGAGGGAAAGGUGAAAAGCACCCCGGAAGGAGAGUGAAAUAGAACCUGAAACCGUGUGCUUACAAGUAGUCAGAGCCCGUUAAUGGGUGAUGGCGUGCCUUUUGUAGAAUGAACCGGCGAGUUACGAUUUGAUGCAAGGUUAAGCAGUAAAUGUGGAGCCGUAGCGAAAGCGAGUCUGAAUAGGGCGUUUAGUAUUUGGUCGUAGACCCGAAACCAGGUGAUCUACCCUUGGUCAGGUUGAAGUUCAGGUAACACUGAAUGGAGGACCGAACCGACUUACGUUGAAAAGUGAGCGGAUGAACUGAGGGUAGCGGAGAAAUUCCAAUCGAACCUGGAGAUAGCUGGUUCUCUCCGAAAUAGCUUUAGGGAUAGCCUCAAGUGAUGAUUAUUGGAGGUAGAGCACUGUUUGGACGAGGGGCCCCUCUCGGGUUACCGAAUUCAGACAAACUCCGAAUGCCAAUUAAUUUAACUUGGGAGUCAGAACAUGGGUGAUAAGGUCCGUGUUCGAAAGGGAAACAGCCCAGACCACCAGCUAAGGUCCCAAAAUAUAUGUUAAGUGGAAAAGGAUGUGGCGUUGCCCAGACAACUAGGAUGUUGGCUUAGAAGCAGCCAUCAUUUAAAGAGUGCGUAAUAGCUCACUAGUCGAGUGACACUGCGCCGAAAAUGUACCGGGGCUAAACAUAUUACCGAAGCUGUGGAUUGUCCUUUGGACAAUGGUAGGAGAGCGUUCUAAGGGCGUUGAAGCAUGAUCGUAAGGACAUGUGGAGCGCUUAGAAGUGAGAAUGCCGGUGUGAGUAGCGAAAGACGGGUGAGAAUCCCGUCCACCGAUUGACUAAGGUUUCCAGAGGAAGGCUCGUCCGCUCUGGGUUAGUCGGGUCCUAAGCUGAGGCCGACAGGCGUAGGCGAUGGAUAACAGGUUGAUAUUCCUGUACCACCUAUAAUCGUUUUAAUCGAUGGGGGGACGCAGUAGGAUAGGCGAAGCGUGCGAUUGGAUUGCACGUCUAAGCAGUAAGGCUGAGUAUUAGGCAAAUCCGGUACUCGUUAAGGCUGAGCUGUGAUGGGGAGAAGACAUUGAGUCUUCGAGUCGUUGAUUUCACACUGCCGAGAAAAGCCUCUAGAUAGAAAAUAGGUGCCCGUACCGCAAACCGACACAGGUAGUCAAGAUGAGAAUUCUAAGGUGAGCGAGCGAACUCUCGUUAAGGAACUCGGCAAAAUGACCCCGUAACUUCGGGAGAAGGGGUGCUCUUUAGGGUUAACGCCCAGAAGAGCCGCAGUGAAUAGGCCCAAGCGACUGUUUAUCAAAAACACAGGUCUCUGCUAAACCGUAAGGUGAUGUAUAGGGGCUGACGCCUGCCCGGUGCUGGAAGGUUAAGAGGAGUGGUUAGCUUCUGCGAAGCUACGAAUCGAAGCCCCAGUAAACGGCGGCCGUAACUAUAACGGUCCUAAGGUAGCGAAAUUCCUUGUCGGGUAAGUUCCGACCCGCACGAAAGGCGUAACGAUUUGGGCACUGUCUCAACGAGAGACUCGGUGAAAUCAUAGUACCUGUGAAGAUGCAGGUUACCCGCGACAGGACGGAAAGACCCCGUGGAGCUUUACUGUAGCCUGAUAUUGAAAUUCGGCACAGCUUGUACAGGAUAGGUAGGAGCCUUUGAAACGUGAGCGCUAGCUUACGUGGAGGCGCUGGUGGGAUACUACCCUAGCUGUGUUGGCUUUCUAACCCGCACCACUUAUCGUGGUGGGAGACAGUGUCAAGCGGGCAGUUUGACUGGGGCGGUCGCCUCCUAAAAGGUAACGGAGGCGCUCAAAGGUUCCCUCAGAAUGGUUGGAAAUCAUUCAUAGAGUGUAAAGGCAUAAGGGAGCUUGACUGCGAGACCUACAAGUCGAGCAGGGUCGAAAGACGGACUUAGUGAUCCGGUGGUUCCGCAUGGAAGGGCCAUCGCUCAACGGAUAAAAGCUACCCCGGGGAUAACAGGCUUAUCUCCCCCAAGAGUUCACAUCGACGGGGAGGUUUGGCACCUCGAUGUCGGCUCAUCGCAUCCUGGGGCUGUAGUCGGUCCCAAGGGUUGGGCUGUUCGCCCAUUAAAGCGGUACGCGAGCUGGGUUCAGAACGUCGUGAGACAGUUCGGUCCCUAUCCGUCGUGGGCGUAGGAAAUUUGAGAGGAGCUGUCCUUAGUACGAGAGGACCGGGAUGGACAUACCUCUGGUGUACCAGUUGUCGUGCCAACGGCAUAGCUGGGUAGCUAUGUGUGGACGGGAUAAGUGCUGAAAGCAUCUAAGCAUGAAGCCCCCCUCAAGAUGAGAUUUCCCAACUUCGGUUAUAAGAUCCCUCAAAGAUGAUGAGGUUAAUAGGUUCGAGGUGGAAGCAUGGUGACAUGUGGAGCUGACGAAUACUAAUCGAUCGAAGACUUAAUCAA